GAGUGCGGGCGAUUGUCUCCUAUGCUCGGAUGCUCCAUCUCAGGCUGUGGCAUUUGGCAGAAAUCAGUGAUUUUUCAGAACGUUGGAAGGUACCCACAACGGCACUAGUAUAUUUCUUGUCACUUCAAAGCACCUAUGGACAGUCCUUUGCUUUUCCAGACAAGAGUAAGCUUAGGAAUGCUCUGCUUCAUUCCAGGUCAGGCUGCCUGCAGAUACAGACCCUUUCCUCGGCUGCCUCAUUGCCAGUUACAUUAAAUACAGUCUGUGACAACAGUUUAUUAAUACUGUACUGUGGUCAAUAUCUAUGCGAGCGUAUACGGUGACCCCAUGCAGAAAAGUAUUCCAUGGAGCCUACAGACAGCAGUGACUCCGUUAGUGAUAGUGGAAGUCGUCCUAUACAUGAACCCUCCUCUCCCAUGUCUCCCUCGCACCAGUCAUGAAGGUUUUCAGAGACCAUGCUGUCCCGGACCCGCUUUUCUCAUGGCGAUGGCAAAAGAAUGAGAAAGGAGAAUUGGAGCGGCACGCUAUCUCUUCUGCCUUGUUCUCUUGGACACAGCGGCCAAUGGCUGAACCCAGGAUCAAGGAGUACACUCCGCCUCUCGAUGGCAAAGGGUGCGGAUACGAGGAAUGACAUAGCAUCGUGGUCGUUGACGCCAUGCGUCACACUUGCCGAGAGAUGCUGCUUUCCCUCUUUCAUCGGGCUCCAGAGUCUCCCACCAGGAACGGUGUCACCCUUAGUGUUGGGAUGGGAGGAAUUUAAGUGAGAGCCCCUAGGUGUACUCAGAACGAUUGCUCUCCUCCAAGAAUGUGGUCAAACUGGAGUCUGUCUUCUUCCCCAAGACAACCUCGGGGAAUACUAAUGAGGUCGUAUCAAGUUUCUUUGCUUCGUUAACAGAUCUCCAGCCAUUUCAGCACGGUUUGGGCCUAAAAUAUAGAAAUCUGUUCUCAUGAUGACUGUCCAGUUAAUGACUUUUUGUCAUAACAGCUUUUAGAAUGUAUUUAUUUAUUAUUUAUUUUUAUUUAUGUUUAUUUUUACUUAUUCCAGCUUUAUUUUAUUUUUAUUAUAUAUAUACAGUAUACUGUCAAGUUAGCUAAUAUACAGUGUAUACUAUGUGCUCUGGGCUUCGGGAGUAGAUUCCCGUGAUUCAUCACUUACAUAUAACACCCAGUGCUCAUCCCAACAAGUGCCCUCCUCAGUGCCCAUCACUCAUUUUCCCCGCCCCCCACCCCCUUUCACCCUCAGUUUGUUCUCUGUAUUUAAAAGUCUCUUAUGGUUUGCCUCCUUCUCUGUUUGUAACUAUUUUUUUUUCUUUUCCUUCCCCCAUGAUCUUCUGUUAAGUUUCUCAACUUCCACAUAUGAGUGAAAACAUAUGGUAUCUAUCUUUCUCUGACUUAUUUAACUUAGCAUAAUAUCCUCUGGUUCCAACCACAUUGCUGCAAAUGGCAGGAUUUCAUUCUUUUUCACUGCUGAGUAGUAUUCCAUUGUACAUAUAAACCACAUCUUCUUAAUCCAUUUGUCAAUGGGUGGACAUUUGGGCUCUCUCCAUAAUUUGGCUAUUGUUGAAAGUGCUGCCAUAAACAUUGGGGUACAUGUGCCCCUCUGUAUCAGCACCCCUGUAUCCCUUGGAUAAAUUCCUAGCAGUGCUAUUGCUGGGUCACAGGGUAGAUCUAUUUUUAAUUUUUUGAGGACCUUCCACACUGUUUUCCAGAGCGGCUGCACCAGUUUGCCUUCCCACCAACAGCUCAAGAGGGUUCCCGUUUCUC
ensembl:lncRNA